rnacentral:lncRNA from 1 species
CUCUGUGCAAGGUGGAAUCGGGCCUUGACUGGUUGACUGGUACCACCGGUGUCUGCUGCUGGCCUGACCUCAGCAAUUCCACUUUGGAGCUCAACAUUGUCCUUAGUCCUGUGGAUCCUCACUGUGAGCUCCCCUUCCAAGGGAAUAUGGACCUGUCCUGAGACCGAAGCAGUGAGCAGGGUUCCUGGAGUAGAUGUACCUGAUUUCCUCUUCUGGUCAACCACUUUCUAAUUGGGUGAUGUCGGACAAGUCAUUUCACCUUCUCUCAGCCUCAGUUUCCUUACAUGUAAAAUGGGAGAAUGCCAUCCCCUGUGCAGGGCCUUUGUGAGGUAAUGUAAGUAGAAUGUUGUUGGAACAUGGUAAGUGCUUAGUAAGUAGUAGCUGUUUACUGUUUAUUAUGUUUAGAAUCUGUCUCUCCCACUUGAUAAUGUCAGCGUUGUUCCCCAGAGUCUUGGCAUAUAGCAGGUAUUGAAUGAAUGGUAAAAAAAAAAAAAAAAAAAAAAACCGUCAGCUUUAUCAUCAUGAUCAUCAUCCUAAAAGAGGGUCUGAUAUGUUAGAAAGUACUUUUCCAGUUAUUUUUAUGACAUAAUAUUUAUAAGGUUCAGGAAUGGCUCGCUAGGCACCAGAUCAGAUAUCUUUCAUCCCGCCUGACUUUCCUGCAGGAGUCCCAGAGACUUUCAGGGCCAUUCAUUGGGUUUCCUUGAUGUCAAUCAAUACUGCUUAACCAAUCAGCAUGAAGUGCUUGAUCCAUUAUGGAGGUGGAAUUAGCAACUAUAGCUUCAGGGUCUGCGCCGGAACAAGGUGGCCACCGACAGUUCCAUUGGAAGAAGAAAGCGGAGGAAAAGAAAAGAAAGGAGCCACGGCCAGACUGAGUCCAGACUGGGCAGCUCCAUUUCACAGGCUGGAGAACUGAGACCCUAGAAAGACCUCCCUCACCCAGCUGGCCUGCUGGGGCCUCCUUGUGGAUCCUCACAUGGUGCUGCUGGCAGUGCCUGGCGGCCUUGCGGUGGCCGCUCCCACCCCCUAUUAGCUGUUGACAUACAAAUGCCCUGGUAAGGAAAAUAUUUUCAUUCUUUUAUUACAACAUUCUCGGGCCUGCUUAAUCAUAUUUUUCUUUGUCUUUAAAAACAAGCUUCUGUGUGGUUUUUUAUCUUCUUGCUGCUUUUCUCAGGACAUCCUAGAACCAAGCCUCACCGAUGCUUAAUGCCUUUUCAUGUGUCACCGCCCUCUGGCUACUUUAGGGGAGUUUAGGGUGGGCAGCUGCUGAGCCCCUCCAAGUGCCUCACACCACACUUGACACUUUGCAUCCAGGGAUCUUUUACCAACCUCA